GUCAAAUCAUCAUGCCCCUUACGUCCUGGGCUGCACACAUGCUACAAUGGCUGGUACAGAGGGCUGCGACCCCGUGAGGGUGAGCGAAUCUCUUAAAGCCAGUCUCAGUUCGGAUUGGAGUCUGCAACUCAACUCCAUGAAGGCGGAGUCGCUAGUAAUCGCAGAUCAGCAACGCUGCGGUGAAUACGUUCCCGGGCCUU
rnacentral:rRNA from 1 species